rnacentral:misc_RNA from 1 species
UUUUAGGUUCAAGUUUAACGCCUUGCGGCUUCUGAGAUCUGAGUAAUACUGAAUUUUUAAACCUCCGGCGGGCGCUAGGAGCGAGUCCAGGCUACGGCCCCGCCCUGGGGCCGCCCACCGAAGCAACUACAGGUAGGUUCACAAAGGGUUUUAGGGAGUUUUCACUCUCUGUAAUGAUCCCUCCGCUGGUUCACCAACGGAGA